AAACAUCUAUAUUUGGUGAUGGUUUAAAACUAAAAUUCUGAGCUACAGUCAUAUUACCUUCUAGGUGCCCGUGAGAUGCAUAUAUAUCACCUGCAUCAGAUCACAUAAACACUUGUUCAUAUGUGGAUCUUUGUUUAUUGUGAACCUCAGUGUGACAGUGGACACGAUUCAUGACACACAUUGAAGGAAAUCUCACCACCUAUCACUGACAACUGGAGACCCUGGGAAUUGAACACCAGGCCCAAGAUGGUGGUGGAAAUAAGCCCAAGUGUGAAGGCCUGAGGACCUAACAAGAUGAUUGUGUGAAUGCAAGCCUCAGUCUGAAAGCCCAACGACUAGGAAUGCUGUGUCCUAAGCUGGAUGAAGAAGUUGAAUUUACCAUUUUCCUUUAUGUUUUAUUCAAAAUUUCCCUCAACACAUAGGAUGAGUCUCCCACAUCCCUGAGGCAGAUCAUCUUCAUUCUGUCUACCAGCUCAAGAGCUAGUCCUUGAGCAGAGGGCAAAAAUAAGAACAAAAUAUACUGACAUAUAUAUAUGAAAAUGUCAUAAUGAAACACAUUACUUUCUGUAUAGCCUUUUUUAUUUAAAAAAAAAAAAAGCCAAUACUCAACCAGCAUUAGUCACCAGAAACACUGUCAGACAUACCCAAAAAUAAUGUACUUCAAACAAUCUUGGCACCUGUACCUCUGUGAAGUUGAUGUAUGAUCCUGACCAUUGUACACACAUGAAUACAUGGAAUCAAUAACAAAACUUAAGCACAUGUCUGUUCAGUUUUAUUAUUAAUAUCUGACUUUUAUGUAGAAUGGCUA
rnacentral:lncRNA from 1 species